ensembl:snRNA U6 U6 spliceosomal RNA
GCACUCAUUUCAGCAGCAUAUAUCCUAAAAUUGGAACAAUGCAGAGAAGAUUAGCAUGGCCCCUGCACAGGGAUGACAGAUAAAUUUGUAAAGCAGUCCAUAUUUUU